rnacentral:lncRNA from 1 species
GUAUAAAGCUAAGCUUUAUUACAACUGACACAUAAACUUAACAUUAACCAAGAUAACUAAACAAAGACCAAUGAACCUUGAAAAUGAGGUCAAGGUCAGAUGAAACAUGCCAGGCAGACAUGUACAGCUAACAAUGCUUCUAUACAACAUAUAUAUUUGACCCAUUACUUAUAGUUUAAGAAAAAUAGACCAAAACACAAAAACUUAACACUGUGCAAUGAACCGUGAAAAUGAGGUCAGGGUCAAAUAAAACCUGCGUGACUGACAUAAAGAUCAUAAAAUAUUUCCAUACACCAAAUAUAGUUGACCUAUGGCAUAUAGUAUUAGAUAAAAAGCCCUAAACUCAAAAACUUAACUUUGACUACUGAAC